rnacentral:rRNA from 1 species
UGCAGAAUCCCGUGAAUCAUCGAGUCUUUGAACGCAAGUUGCGCCCGAGGCCUCGGCCGAGGGCACGUCUGCUUGGGCGUCGCACUCUAAAAUCGACUUCCCCCGUUCCUCGGCGGGAGGAUCGGAGAUGGCUGUCCGUGCCCACCAGCGGCGCGGUCGGCUCAAAUGGGCACGAGAUUUGUGGCCGAUGUCACGAUGAGCGGUGGCCAAUGUUGGUCGGCGUUGGAUUGUGGCAUGGGGUCACGGAUUUGUGCGGAACUUUACUCGUUGUUAGUCGCGACUCUUCCGCGGGAGGGCGCGUCGCAACUUUCGCGGCCCCAGGUCAGGCGUGAGUACCCGCUGAGUUUAAGCAUAUCACUAAGCGGAGGAAAAGAAACUUACCAGGAUUCCCCUAGUAACGGCGAGCGAACCGGGAAGAGCCCAGCAUGAAAAUCGGCCGAUCUACGCGCCGA